rnacentral:rRNA from 1 species
GAAUAUGGGGGGACCAUCCUCCAAGGCUAAAUACUCCUGACUGACCGAUAGUGAACCAGUACCGUGAGGGAAAGGCGAAAAGAACCCCGGCGAGGGGAGUGAAAAAGAACCUGAAACCGUGUACGUACAAGCAGUGGGAGCCUCUUAAUGGGGUGACUGCGUACCUUUUGUAUAAUGGGUCAGCGACUUAUAUUCUGUAGCAAGGUUAACCGAAUAGGGGAGCCGAAGGGAAACCGAGUCUUAACUGGGCGUUAAGUUGCAGGGUAUAGACCCGAAACCCGGUGAUCUAGCCAUGGGCAGGUUGAAGGUUGGGUAACACUAACUGGAGGACCGAACCGACUAAUGUUGAAAAAUUAGCGGAUGACUUGUGGCUGGGGGUGAAAGGCCAAUCAAACCGGGAGAUAGCUGGUUCUCCCCGAAAGCUAUUUAGGUAGCGCCUCGUGAAUUCAUCUCCGGGGGUAGAGCACUGUUUCGGCAAGGGGGUCAUCCCGACUUACCAACCCGAUGCAAACUGCGAAUACCGGAGAAUGUUAUCACGGGAGACACACGGCGGGUGCUAACGUCCGUCGUGAAGAGGGAAACAACCCAGACCGCCAGCUAAGGUCCCAAAGUCAUGGUUAAGUGGGAAACGAUGUGGGAAGGCCCAGACAGCCAGGAUGUUGGCUUAGAAGCAGCCAUCAUUUAAAGAAAGCGUAAUAGCUCACUGGUCGAGUCGGCCUGCGCGGAAGAUGUAACGGGGCUAAACCAUGCACCGAAGCUGCGGCAGCGACACUAUGUGUUGUUGGGUAGGGGAGCGUUCUGUAAGCCUGUGAAGGUGUGCUGUGAGGCAUGCUGGAGGUAUCAGAAGUGCGAAUGCUGACAUAAGUAACGAUAAAGCGGGUGAAAAGCCCGCUCGCCGGAAGACCAAGGGUUCCUGUCCAACGUUAAUCGGGGCAGGGUGAGUCGACCCCUAAGGCGAGGCCGAAAGGCGUAGUCGAUGGGAAACAGGUUAAUAUUCCUGUACUUGGUGUUACUGCGAAGGGGGGACGGAGAAGGCUAUGUUGGCCGGGCGACGGUUGUCCCGGUUUAAGCGUGUAGGCUGGUUUUCCAGGCAAAUCCGGAAAACCAAGGCUGAGGCGUGAUGACGAGGCACUACGGUGCUGAAGCGACAAAUGCCCUGCUUCCAGGAAAAGCCUCUAAGCAUCAGGUAACAUCAAAUCGUACCCCAAACCGACACAGGUGGUCAGGUAGAGAAUACCAAGGCGCUUGAGAGAACUCGGGUGAAGGAACUAGGCAAAAUGGUGCCGUAACUUCGGGAGAAGGCACGCUGAUAUGUAGGUGAAGCGACUUGCUCGUGGAGCUGAAAUCAGUCGAAGAUACCAGCUGGCUGCAACUGUUUAUUAAAAACACAGCACUGUGCAAACACGAAAGUGGACGUAUACGGUGUGACGCCUGCCCGGUGCCGGAAGGUUAAUUGAUGGGGUUAGCGGUAACGCGAAGCUCUUGAUCGAAGCCCCGGUAAACGGCGGCCGUAACUAUAACGGUCCUAAGGUAGCGAAAUUCCUUGUCGGGUAAGUUCCGACCUGCACGAAUGGCGUAAUGAUGGCCAGGCUGUCUCCACCCGAGACUCAGUGAAAUUGAACUCGCUGUGAAGAUGCAGUGUACCCGCGGCAAGACGGAAAGACCCCGUGAACCUUUACUAUAGCUUGACACUGAACAUUGAGCCUUGAUGUGUAGGAUAGGUGGGAGGCUUUGAAGUGUGGACGCCAGUCUGCAUGGAGCCGACCUUGAAAUACCACCCUUUAAUGUUUGAUGUUCUAACGUUGGCCCGUAAUCCGGGUUGCGGACAGUGUCUGGUGGGUAGUUUGACUGGGGCGGUCUCCUCCUAAAGAGUAACGGAGGAGCACGAAGGUUGGCUAAUCCUGGUCGGACAUCAGGAGGUUAGUGCAAUGGCAUAAGCCAGCUUGACUGCGAGCGUGACGGCGCGAGCAGGUGCGAAAGCAGGUCAUAGUGAUCCGGUGGUUCUGAAUGGAAGGGCCAUCGCUCAACGGAUAAAAGGUACUCCGGGGAUAACAGGCUGAUACCGCCCAAGAGUUCAUAUCGACGGCGGUGUUUGGCACCUCGAUGUCGGCUCAUCACAUCCUGGGGCUGAAGUAGGUCCCAAGGGUAUGGCUGUUCGCCAUUUAAAGUGGUACGCGAGCUGGGUUUAGAACGUCGUGAGACAGUUCGGUCCCUAUCUGCCGUGGGCGCUGGAGAACUGAGGGGGGCUGCUCCUAGUACGAGAGGACCGGAGUGGACGCAUCACUGGUGUUCGGGUUGUCAUGCCAAUGGCACUGCCCGGUAGCUAAAUGCGGAAGAGAUAAGUGCUGAAAGCAUCUAAGCACGAAACUUGCCC